CGUAGGGGGCAAGCGUUGUCCGGAUUUAUUGGGCGUAAAGGGCUCGUAGGCGGUUUGUCACGUCAGGGGUGAAAACUCGGGGCUCAACCCCGAGCCUGCUUCUGAUACGGGCAGACUAGAGGUAUGCAGGGGAGAACGGAAUUCCUGGUGUAGCGGUGAAAUGCGCAGAUAUCAGGAGGAACACCGGUGGCGAAGGCGGUUCUCUGGGCAUUACCUGACGCUGAGGAGCGAAAGUGUGGGGAGCGAACAGG
rnacentral:rRNA from 1 species